rnacentral:rRNA from 1 species
AGCUCCAAUAGCGUAUAUUAAAGUUGUUGCAGUUAAAAAGCUCGUAGUUGAACUUUGGGCCUGGGCGGGCGGUCUACCUAUGGUGAGUACUGCUUCGGCCGGGUCUUUCCUUCUGGCUAGCCAUUUGGCGAACCAGGACGAUUACUUUGAGGAAAUUAGAGUGUUCAAAGCAGGCCUUUGCUCGGAUAUAUUAGCAUGGAAUAAUAGAAUAGGACGUAUGGUUCUAUUUUGUUGGUUUCUAGGACCAUCGUAAUGAUUAAUAGGGACGGUCGGGGGCAUCAGUAUUCAGUUGUCAGAGGUGAAAUUCUUGGAUUAACUGAAGACUAACUACUGCGAAAGCAUUUGCCAAGGACGUUUUCA